UACGUAGGGGGCGAGCGUUAUCCGGAUUUACUGGGUGUAAAGGGAGCGUAGACGGAAGGGCAAGUUUGAAGUGAAAACCCAAGGCUUAACCAUGGAAUUGCUUUGAAAACUGCUCAUCUAGAGUACUGGAGAGGUAAGUGGAAUUCCUAGUGUAGUAGUGAAAUGCGUAGAUAUUAGGAGGAACACCGGAGGCGAAGGCGGCUUACUGGACAGAAACUGACGUUGAGGCUCGAAAGCGUGGGGAG
rnacentral:rRNA from 1 species